rnacentral:lncRNA from 1 species
GUUAUCCUGGCUGAGCCAAUCCUGUGGGUAGAUUGUACCUUAGUGCCUUCCCCUGCUACAAAUUCCAAAUGCCCACUGGCCACAUGCUCCCUCUCAGAAGGAUGGAAGCCAGGGUGGAAUACCGCCAUGCAGUGUAUAAAUUACCCUGGAGAACUCAGCCUACAGGGGCAAGGCCAUGUGGCUUUGUGUUCAAGAGCUUCACAAAGGAAUGUACCGCCGUAAUUAGGUGUCAGGACAGGAAACAGUAUUUCAUGUUACUGAGGAGUUCAAUUAUCCAAGCGUGUGCUGGAAGAUUCCUUCAGCUGAAAGUAGAGAAUCUGAUAGACUCUCAUUAUACUUAGUAACAAACUGAUUAAUAUCUGCAUCCUCUGUUGACUCUAAGCAUGGGACAAGGAUAAUCGCGUGUCGUUCCCUAGUGUUAUCCCAGCAGGGGGAGCGCGUGGCACUGAGCAGGCACUCAGUGAAAUAAGGCAUCAGUGGGAAAGAGUAUCAUGCAAAUGAAUUUAUCAGUUGAGCAAAUGAAUGGAGUAAAUGAAUGAUGCGCCCUGGGACCCAGGCACCAUCUCAGACAUUGCCAGCAGCCUUGGCAAAGAAAAAGAGAACGAGAAACAGCACCCUGGAAGUGAAAUGCUCCGACCAGAAGUGGCCCUCAGGUCUGCUCCCUUGGGACGAGGCCCCCUGGAGGCAGGUGGUGCACAUGCACCUGGCAGAGCUGGAAACCAGUGGUCAAUGGCACUGAGGACUGCCUGCCCACACCCUCACCGUGGGCCAGGGAUUGAUCUGCAAUCAUAAUGCAGUCUUAAUGUCUGCCUCAGAACCCCUGGACCCACCCCCACCUCCACCCAACAGAGUUUACCCCUCAGGGUCAGUCUGCAUUUUUAACAGACUUCCCCAGGAUCCACAUGUGCACCAGUAUUCCAAACAUGGGGAUUCUUUGAAUCUUCUAAGCAAGAAAAAUACAGGCCCUCCCACACCCCAGUAGAGAGGUGGGGAGCCUGGCAGCAUUCAAGGAAGUCUUCCCAGUGGUGGCAAUGCCCCAGUGGAGUCCUGGAGCAUCCAAGAUGGAUGCUGGGCCUGGGGCUGGAGGACAUGAGGCAUCAGGGGACUUGACAGGAGAUCAGUCUGGAAAGGUUUGCCAGUGGGCAGAAGGAUGGCAG